AGCAGCUACAUCCGCGGCCGCAGGACAGGUAGAGGAUCACCUGAUCAAAACCUUGGGAAGAUGGAGUUCCGAUUGCUAUACCAGAUACAUUCGCUCCGAUGACCAAACUUUAUCGCGUGCUCAACAAGCUAUGUGUUGUCUUUAAAUUCUAGAACUAUGUGAGUCGGGUGUAUGGACUUUCAAUUGAUUACUUACUUUGCAUAUGUAUUGGCAAUAUCUCACGAUUGUUGAAAUGGACUGAUGUUUGUUAUUGUUAUGUGUAGCUUAGAUAAUGACUUUGCAUAGAGGUUAUCCUUUAACUGCAGUUACUAUGUACCGUACUUAUUUGUUGCAGGAUACAAUGUUUAAUUAUUUUGCGAAAUUUGUACUGUUUGUGUGUCGGAAUGUUUCUUAUAUUAGUUGAUGAAGGUGUAUUAGUCAUGAAGGUGUAUUAUCAGAUCAAGAGUGGUGGUGAUCAACCCAAUUCCUUUUGGGGCUCUCAGCUAUUACAAUUAACAUUUAUAAUAACUUCGUUUGGGCAUUUCACACAUGGUCAAUUGGCCAUGUGUUAUUAUACCCCAAAAGAAUUGUACAAUGUUCACUCAUUUUGUUAUUAUACAAACACACGCACACAGGCCAUCGGCCUUCCACAUCAGCCAUCGGCUACUACAUAUCAGGCCAUCGGCCUUCUACAUCACAUCUCAAGCCAUCGGCUACUACAUAUCUUUUCUAGAUAUUGCAGGCCUUAUUGCCUCAUUCUGUUUCUAAUAUUUUGUUUGCGUGUGUAUUUUUAUAUUACUGUAUGUUCUGUUGCUUAAUAGCUGAGUAGUGCCCAGAAGGCAAUUUGAAUAAAUUUGUAAAUCUU
rnacentral:misc_RNA from 1 species